rnacentral:rRNA from 1 species
GAUGAACGCUAGCGGCAGGCCUAAUACAUGCAAGUCGAACGGGAUUAAGAGGCUUGCUUCUUAUGAGAGUGGCGCACGGGUGCGUAACACGUAUGCAACCUACCUUCAACUGGGGGAUAGCCUACCGAAAGGGAGAUUAAUACCGCAUAACAUAAUUGAACGGCAUCGUUUGAUUAUCAAACUUCCAGGGGUCGAAGAUGGGCAUGCGUCCGAUUAGUUAGUUGGUGAGGUAACGGCUCACCAAGACAUCGAUCGGUAGGGGAUCUGAGAGGAUUGACACGCACACUUGUACUGAGAUACGGACCAGACUGCUACGGGAGGGAGCAGUAAGGAAUGGUGGUCAAUGGACGCAAGUCUGAACAAGCCAUGUCGCUUGCACGAAGACGGUCCUCUGGAUUGUAAACUGCUUUUGUUAGGGAAGAAACCCUCGGAUGCGUUCGAGGCUGACGGUACCUAAAGAAUAAGGAUCGGCUAACUCCGUGCCAGCAGCCGCGGUAACAC